rnacentral:rRNA from 1 species
GUGGAUUAGAUACCCGGGUAGUCCACGCCGUAAACGGUGGGCACUAGAUGUGGGGCUCUUUCCAUGAGUUCCGCGUCGCAGCUAACGCAUUAAGUGCCCCGCCUGGGGAGUACGGCCGCAAGGCUAAAACUCAAAGGAAUUGACGGGGGCCCGCACAAGCGGCGGAGCAUGCGGAUUAAUUCGAUGCAACGCGAAGAACCUUACCAAGGCUUGACAUAUACGGUCUAUCCCUAGAGAUAGGGAGUGCUUCGGCGCCGUAUACAGGUGGUGCAUGGCUGUCGACAGCU